UACGUAGGGGGCGAGCGUUAUUCGGAAUUACUGGGCGUAAAGCGUGCGUAGUCGGUUAUUUAAGUCGGGUGUGAAAGCCCCGGGCUCAACCUGGGAAUUGCAUUCGAGACUGAAUAGCUAGGGUACGGUAGAGGGAAGCGGAAUUUCCGGUGUAGCGGUGAAAUGCGUAGAUAUCGGAAGGAACAUCAGUGGCGAAAGCGGCUUCCUGGACCAGUACCGACGUUCAGGCACGAAAGCGUGGGGAGCAAACAGG
rnacentral:rRNA from 1 species